GUUAGGAAUAUUGGACAAUGGGCGAAAGCCUGAUCCAGCCAUGCCGCGUGAACGAUGAAGGCCUUCGGGUUGUAAAGUUCUUUAGCCGAUGAUUAUAAUGACUGUAGUCGGAAAAUAAGCCCCGGCUAACUUCGUGCCAGCAGCCGCGGUAAUACGAAGGGGGCGAGCGUUAUUCGGAAUCACUGGGCGUAAAGCGUGCGUAGGCGGUUUUGUAAGUUAGGAGUGAAAGCCCAGGGCUCAACCUUGGAAUUGCUCUUAAAACUGCACGGCUCGAAUCUCGGAGAGGAUAGCGGAAUUUCCAGUGUAGCAGUGAAAUGCGUAGAUAUUGGAAGGAACACCAGUGGCGUAAGCGGCUAUCUGGACGAGUAUUGACGCUGAGGCACGAAAGCGUGGGGAUCAAACAGGAUUAGAAACCCCAGUAGUCC
rnacentral:rRNA from 1 species